rnacentral:rRNA from 1 species
GACGAACGCUGGCGGCGUGGAUUAGGCAUGCAAGUCGAACGGUAUCAUCCUUUCGGGGGUGAGAGAGUGGCGAACUGGUGAGUAACACGUAGGUUAUCUACCCUCAAGACGGGGACAACCCAGGGAAACUUGGGCUAAUACCGGAUGUGAGCAACUUUUAGUUGUUUGAAAGGUGGCGUAAGCUGUCGCUUGGGGAUGAGCCUGCGUCCUAUUAGUUAGUUGGUGAGGUAACGGCUCACCUAGGCAAUGAUAGGUAGGCGGCCUUAACGGGUGGUCGCCCACACUGGGAUUGAGAUACGGCCCAGACUCCUACGGGAGCAGCAGUCGAGAAUAGUCUACAAUGGUCGGAAGACUGAUAGUGCGACGCCGCGUGAACGAUGAAUCCCUUCGGGGUUAAAGUUCUUUUAUAUGUGAGCAGUGCUUCUAUAUUAACAGUAUGGGGAAGAGAUAUUAGCAUAUGAAUAAGCAACGGCUAAACUCCGUGCCAGCAGCCGGGU